UACGUAGGGGACAAGCGUUGUCCGGAUUUAUUGGGCGUAAAGAGCUCGUAGGUGGUUCGGUAAGUCGGAUGUGAAAUCUCCAGGCUCAACCUGGAGGGGUCAUUCGAUACUGCCGUGACUAGAGGUCGGUAGGGGAGUGUGGAAUUCCUGGUGGAGCGGUGAAAUGCGCAGAUAUCAGGAGGAACACCCGUAGCGAAGGCGGCACUCUGGGCCGAUACUGACACUGAGGAGCGAAAGCGUGGGGAGCGAACAGG
rnacentral:rRNA from 1 species